UCUCUGGCAGUCCAGUGGUUAAGAUUCUGCACUUCCACUGCAGAGGGCAAGGGUUCGAUCCCUGGUCAGGGAA
rnacentral:tRNA from 1 species